rnacentral:rRNA from 1 species
AGCCCGUUCUCUUUGAGGUCGGGCAUUGGAAUGGAUGGAAUCUAAACAGUUCCAUGAGUAUCAACGAGAGGGCAAGUCUGGUGCCAGCAGCCGCGGUAAUUCCAGCUCUCGUAAUGUAUAGAAUUAUUGUUGCGGUUAAAAAGUUCGUAGUUGGAUUUUCUACCGUUCGGCGGUUGGGUUUAACGACUCAGACUGUCGGCGGUUUUUGCGCUAUGACUGGCUUGCUAGUCUUAGUGCGGAUUACUUUGAACGGCUUAAGUGCUCAAGGCGAGUCUUCGGACUGAAUACCGGUGCAUGGAAUAAUGGAACAAGGUCACGGCCGAGUUUUAUUGGUUUUGUCGGCUGAGACAAUGGUUAACAGGAACAGCUGGGGGCACUCGUAUCGCUGCGCGAGAGGUGAAAUUCGUGGACCGCAGCGAGACGCCCUAAAGCGAAGGCAUUUGCCAAGAGUGUUUUCAUUAAUCAAGAACGAAAGUCAGAGGUUCGAAGGCGAUUAGAUACCGCCCUAGUUCUGACCGUAAACGAUGCCAACUAUCAAUCCGCCAGUGGCUUUUAGUCAUUGGCGGGCGGAUCGACGGAAACGAAAGUUUUUCGGUUCCGGGGGAAGUAUGGUUGCAAAGCUGAAACUUAAAGGAAUUGACGGAAGGGCACCACCAGGAGUGGAGCUUGCGGCUUAAUUUGACCCAACACGGGAAACCUCACCCGGCCAGUACAUCAUAAGGAUUGACAGAUUGAAAGCUCUUUCAUGAUUUGAUGAAUGGUGGUGCAUGGCCGUUCUUAGUUCGUGGCGUGAGUCGUCUGCUUAAUUGCGAUAACGAGCGAGACUCCGACUGCUAAAUACUGUCUGGAUAAUUUCGUCCUUCACAGUUCUUAGCUGGAUUCGAGACUCCAAGUCUCAAGAAAUGGAGCAAUAACAGGUCUGUGAUGCCCUUAGAUGUUCGGGGCCGCACGCGUGCUACAAUGAUGGUAACAGCGUGAUUGUCCUCGCUCGACAGAGCUUGGCAAACAGUUGAGAUAUUAUUAUGGCUGGAAUUGAGUGUUGAAAUUUUCUCUCAUGAACGAGGAAUUCCAAGUAAAUGCGCGUCAUCAACGUGCAUUGAUUACGUCCCUGCCCUUUGUACACACCGCCCGUCGCUACCCGGGACUGAGUUGUUUCGAGAAAUCUACGGACCGAUUGUGCGUUGGCAACAACUCAC